rnacentral:rRNA from 1 species
GGCGGCGUGCCUAAUACAUGCAAGUGGGACGCAAGGGAACACACUGUGCUUGCACACCGUGUUUUCUUGAGUCGCGAACGGGUGAGUAACGCGUAGGUAACCUGCCUAUUAGCGGGGGAUAACUAUUGGAAACGAUAGCUAAUACCGCAUAAUAUUAAUUAUUGCAUGAUAAUUGAUUGAAAGAUGCAAGCGCAUCACUAGUAGACGGACCUGCGUUGUAUUAGCUAGUUGGUAAGGUAAGAGCUUACCAAGGCGCGAUACAUAGCCGACCUGAGAGGGUGAUCGGCCACACUGGGACUGAGACACGGCCCAGACUCCUACGGGAGGCAGCAGUAGGGAAUCUUCGGCAAUGGACGAAAGUCUGACCGAGCAACGCCGCGUGAGUGAAGAAGGUCUUUCGGAUCGUAAA